AUCCAGCUGACAAGUCCCAAAUAGAACGAAAUGAGCGUCCAACUGGAU
rnacentral:hammerhead_ribozyme from 1 species